CGAGAAGGUUGGGCAGUCGCGGCUGAUUUUUUCAGACGAGGAAAGUCCGAGCCCCACAGAGCAGGAUAACGGCUAACGGCCGCCGAGGGUGACCUUAGGGAAAGUGCAUAGAAAUAUACCGCCAUGAUUUUUUCACGGUAAGGUUGAGAUGGUGCGGUAAGAGCGCACCGGUGUGCAGGAGACUGCACAGCCAAGUAAACCCUAUCCGGAGCAACACCGACUGAGAUUUUGCAUUUGCUCGAUGUAUAUCUCGAAAGGUGGCUUGAACGUUACGGCAACGUAACGUCUAGACAGAUGAUUGCCUUAAACGACAGAACUCGGCUUACAGACCUUCUCAUUUU
rnacentral:RNase_P_RNA from 1 species